UACAGAGGUCCCAAGCGUUGUUCGGAUUCAUUGGGCGUAAAGGGUGCGUAGGCGGCGCCGUAAGUCGGAUGUGAAAUCUCGGGGCUCAACCCUGAAACUGCAUUCGAUACUGCGGUGCUAGAGGACUCUAGAGGAAACUGGAAUUCACGGUGUAGCAGUGAAAUGCGUAGAUAUCGUGAGGAAGACCAGUGGCGAAGGCGGGUUUCUGGAGAGUUCCUGACGCUGAGGCACGAAGGCCAGGGGAGCAAACGGGG
rnacentral:rRNA from 1 species